GGCGAGGAGAGGAGAGGAGAGGAGAGGAGAGGAGAGGAGAGGAGAGGGAGUGCACUCCCCGCUUGUUUAAUGUUUUCCUUAUGUUUCUGGAGGAGCGUUUAUUUUUCUGACGUGCUUUCUCUGCCCACUGAUGCUCGGGCCGCCGGGGCGGGCGGGCUGCAGGUUGGCUCACACGCCCGUCCCCGCCGUUCCCCGCAGCCCUGUUUAUUUCUGCCACUCGCCCGCCGGGCUCAGCGCUUUCCUCACGGGCACCAGCACGCCAGAGGUCCCGGGCUCCAACAAAACAAAACAGAAGGCUGAGGCGACGGCGCUUUCUCCGCGUCAGCGUAGCCCCUCCGCUCGUCUGCGGAAUGACUUUUAUUUUAUGCCUCUCUGGCAAUCCCACCCCAUCCGGCUCAAGUAUCCUGGAUUAGAAAGACUUUCCCCAGAGUCCCUUUCAAAGGGAGCCUCCCACAGACCUUUCAAUCCCCCACAUUUUAUGGUACGGAUAUUUAACAGCUCGGAGAGGGGCAGCGGGGGGAGAGCCCGGGGAGCACGGCUCCAAGCCGAGCGGCUGCUCCUCACGCCGCUGAGGUUCCCCCUGCCAUCAGCGCCGCUGGACCUGGCGUCCUCUGCCACCCAGAGAAGAAGCCAAGCAAGAGAAGGGUUCAGUGAAGUCGCCGGUUUUGCCCUGAACCAGCCUCACCUCCCCCUUUCUAGGCCUUCCCCCCCCCCCCCAAAAAAAAAAAAAAAAAGACCCUUGAGGAGAAAGAAGAGGCGAUGCCCCUCUGUCGAAGGGGCGGCCGAGCCCCACCGAGUGCGGCUGAGCUGCCGGGGCUCCGCUGAGGGUCCCGCCGGCGGCGGGGGGGCGGUUGCGGGCACCCCCGGUUCUCCCCGCUGCCAUCCGGCCGUGGGGACGGCCCCCGGCCCCGACGGGACAGGCGGCUUUGCUCUGCCCCGUCCCGCCGGAAAAGCCGCCCCGGAGAACCCCUGUCCCACGGGGACAAGGCGACGAGGGAGAAAGCCCCGAGGAGGAGAGGCUGGAGACCCCUCCGCCCCCUCCCGGCUCCCCCCUCCGUUU
rnacentral:lncRNA from 1 species